CACUGCUUUGCACCCGAGACACGCGGAUACGCAUACGCGGCAAGCGUGGGAAGGAGAGAUGAUCGCAUGUUGUGAUGCUCUCUGUACUUGAGCUCCUGCGCGGGUGCCCACGUACCUGUACAUAGCACGCACCUCCAUCACUCUCACUUCCAUGCUUUGCCCCACCCCGCCCCAUCACCAUCGCCACCGCGUACCGCACGCGCAGCCGUGCCUACUCUCUUCCCCUCCGCCCCUCUCGGUUGUUUCCCCCUUUUUUCCUUGCCUGGUUGUGCGUUGUCGCCGUGAAGUGGGAUGAUCAUCGCCCUCCCAGCAGUACGCACAAGCACCCGACUCGUUAGAGCACCCAUGAGCCGUUGCGUCUCGGCAUUCCUGCUGUGCUCCGUUUUGCUUUUCACCCGCCGUUCCCUUUUGGCGUAAGCAUGGAUGUGGCGCCCGUGUAAGCGGCUGCGGCGUUGCAGCGCAUACGUCGCCGCACCGUCGACGGCUGCCGCGGCAGCCCUCGGUACGCCUCAACGGCACUGUGCGGAAACGAUAGGCAAGGCUCAGUACGCCUCGAACUCAGAGCAUCAUGGUCUGGCCGCCUCAGCCACACUGCCGACGGCCACGGCCCUGCGCCGUCGAAAGCUGCGGUGUUUGCGGGGCGCCUACCACGCAAGUCGUGCCGUGGCGCAACUCCUUCUGCCUCUUCUUCAGCCAGCGCGAAGCAUCCUGGGCUACAUGGACAUGACGGACGCCAUGAAGAACCUUGCCACCGCUCUGGAAGGUAGUCCGGUCUCGCUGGAGCAUGAGGGGCCUCUACAAGAUGCACACCUGAUCGCAAUACGAGACCUCGCCACGAGCGCGACAGUCACAGACCUUCGCAGUCGAUUAUUGAACGGCUCUUUGUGUCCUCGAGGGGCCACAAGUCUCACAGCAGCACUCUGGAAUAAGACGAGCGUGCGCGACUACCAAAAAUGCCUUUUGGCAGCACGCCAAGCUCGUCUCGAUGCCGGGCACUCCUUCAACGGCUACGACCACCUUGCAGAGGCCGGGGCCGCCAUGCGCAGCGCGAUGUGCUCGGAUGUGGCCGAGCCGAAAACCUGCGCCGAGUGGGCCCGCCUCAUCGACCUCUACACCUCCUUCCUCCCUGAUCGGUCCCACAUCCACGAGCUGGAGAAUCUGCCGCAGGAGAUCGCCAUUGGCGAGCUGCUCCGCGAGACCGUCGAGCGCGUGCGCAGGGCGGAGGAUCACGCCGGCGGCGAUGGCUUCGCGCUGGACUGCGUCGUCGACGUCGGCGGCGGCAACGGCUUCCUUGCGGCGCAGGUGGCGGAGCGCCUGCAGUGCGACAGCGUCGUCAUCGACCCCUUCUUUCCGGCGCACUCCAUCGACUGCUGCCCGCGGCUGUGGCCCGACACAGCGCACCGCGCACGGCCCGCCACGCGCCGGCAGCGCACACUGCACCGCACCGUGGCGCUGUUCCGCGACGUCCGCUGGUCGGACGCUGUGCCGGCAACGCCAGCACGCACGGCCCUCAUCGCGAAGCACCUGUGCGGCAGCGGCGUGGACGAGGUGCUGCGCCAUCUGGAGGCGCAGGAGUCUCUGCCGCGCAUCCUCGUUCUGGCGCCGUGUUGCUUUAACAAAAUCACCGUUGAUCGGUACUGCGACGCUGCCUACCUGAGGCAGGUCAUGGGCAUCGGCUCCGAAGAGGCCCUGGCGCGUGUGAAUCGGCUCACAGACUGGAACAUGUCAUGCUAUCAGAGCACCCACGAGCGCAUGUUGGCGCGGGUCGAGGCGGCUCGGCGAAGCUCAGCCACGAGUGGCAGGGGAUGCGCCUGCGAGGUGCAGAUAGCUAUGGAAGCCUCUGCGUCGCAAGCGCUCCCCGCCGUUGACGGCAGCUCUGGCGCCACGGCUCCGCUGUUCUGCUACCAGCGCCGAAGCGGUCCUCGCUCCAUCGCAAACAGUAUCACGUGUACCCAUGACUUUGCGCUGCUGGUCGAGGCCCUUCUCAACUACGGGCGAAUGCAGUGGCUGCAGCAGCGCCACUACGACGUGCAUCUGGUGCAGUAUGUGCCCGAUGUGGUGACGCCGAAAAACAAGUGUUGGCUCGCGAUUCGACAAGCGCACACGAGUUGAAUGCUGGAAUCGAUCGUGCCCCUGCACGUCUUGUCUGUCUCUCUCUCUCUCUCUCUCUGGCGACACGCGGAUAACACCUUUGUAUCCGUGCCGCAAGGCCCAUCAAGGCCGGUGCCGCUGUUUGUGUCUCCCAGUGUAGCCCCGCUCACACGUAGGCGCCUGCGCCUACAUAGAUGCCGGCAGCGCACGACGAGCUUCCGCGCACGUACUUCGGUCGUAAAGAUCACCUUCCACCCACACACACAAAAAAAAAGCAACUUUCGGGUGUGCGCCUAGAAAGGGGACGGUACAGAACCAAGGUGUAGGUCGAUAGCGGCUACACGAAGGGGUGUGGAACGAUACACCGAGGGAGACCCCCUGCACAGCUGUUAUGGUAGACGCCCCGCCAUGCCUCUGAGGGCGGGUAAAGAAGUAUCGUAGUGUGUGGAAGGCGAGUAUGCCUCAACGACAACUGUCGCAUCGACCUCCGGUAUGGCGUGACGCCGAGGACCGCCCGAGACACGACCCCGGCACUUCAAAGAGAAAACAGCCCCCGCAUUUGAGGAGGACGUCCGUGUGACGUUGUGUACGUCAACGUCAUGCGCAGACGCGCACGCACAUGUAAGGCCCAUCACUUCCUCGCCACUUCUCUCUCUCUCUCCCCCGUACUACUCGCUCUC
rnacentral:misc_RNA from 1 species